AACGAACGCUGGCGGCAUGCCUAACACAUGCAAGUCGAACGAGACCUUCGGGUCUAGUGGCGCACGGGUGCGUAACGCGUGGGAAUCUGCCCUUAGGUUCGGAAUAACUUCGGGAAACUGAAGCUAAUACCGGAUGAUGACGUAAGUCCAAAGAUUUAUCGCCUAAGGAUGAGCCCGCGUUGGAUUAGCUAGUUGGUGAGGUAAAGGCUCACCAAGGCGACGAUCCAUAGCUGGUCUGAGAGGAUGAUCAGCCACACUGGGACUGAGACACGGCCCAGACUCCUACGGGAGGCAGCAGUGGGGAAGUAUUGGACAAUGGGCGAAAGCCUGAUCCAGCAAUGCCGCGUGAAGGAUUAAGGCCUCUGGUUGUAAGA
rnacentral:rRNA from 1 species